AGUCGAGCGAACAGACGAGGAGCUUGCUCCUCUGACGUUAGCGGCGGACGGGUGAGUAACACGUGGAUAACCUACCUAUAAGACUGGGAUAACUUCGGGAAACCGGAGCUAAUACCGGAUAAUAUAUUGAACCGCAUGGUUCAAUAGUGAAAGACGGUUUUGCUGUCACUUAUAGAUGGAUCCGCGCCGCAUUAGCUAGUUGGUAAGGUAACGGCUUACCAAGGCAACGAUGCGUAGCCGACCUGAGAGGGUGAUCGGCCACACUGGAACUGAGACACGGUCCAGACUCCUACGGGAGGCAGCAGUAGGGAAUCUUCCGCAAUGGGCGAAAGCCUGACGGAGCAACGCCGCGUGAGUGAUGAAGGUCUUCGGAUCGUAAAACUCUGUUAUUAGGGAAGAACAAAUGUGUAAGUAACUAUGCACGUCUUGACGGUACCUAAUCAGAAAGCCACGGCUAACUACGUGCCAGCAGCCGCGGUAAUACGUAGGUGGCAAGCGUUAUCCGGAAUUAUUGGGCGUAAAGCGCGCGUAGGCGGUUUUUUAAGUCUGAUGUGAAAGCCCACGGCUCAACCGUGGAGGGUCAUUGGAAACUGGAAAACUUGAGUGCAGAAGAGGAAAGUGGAAUUCCAUGUGUAGCGGUGAAAUGCGCAGAGAUAUGGAGGAACACCAGUGGCGAAGGCGACUUUCUGGUCUGUAACUGACGCUGAUGUGCGAAAGACGUGGGGAUCAAACAGGAUUAG
rnacentral:rRNA from 1 species